UACGGUUACCUUGUUACGACUUCACCCCAGUCAUAAGCCACACCGUGGUAAGCGUCCUCCCGAGGGUUAGACUACCUACUUCUGGUGCAACCUACUUCCAUGGUGUGACGGGCGGUGUGUACAAGACCCGGGAACGUAUUCACCGCGACGUUGCUGAUUCGCGAUUACUAGCGAUUCCGACUUCACGGAGUCGAGUUGCAGACUCCGAUCCGGACUACGACCGGCUUUCUGAGAUUGGCUCCCCCUCGCGGGUUUGCAGCCCUCUGUACCGGCCAUUGUAGCACGUGUGUAGCCCUGCCCAUAAGGGCCAUGAUGACUUGACGUCGUCCCCGCCUUCCUCCAGCUUGUCGCUGGCAGUCUCCCUAGAGUUCCCGGCCGAACCGCUGGCAACUAAGGAUAAGGGUUGCGCUCGUUGCGGGACUUAACCCAACAUCUCACGACACGAGCUGACGACAGCCAUGCAGCACCUGUUUUCCAGGCCCGAAGGCACUCCCGUAUCUCUACAGGAUUCUGUCAAUGUCAAGGGCAGGUAAGGUUCUUCGCGUUGCAUCGAAUUAAACCACAUGCUCCACCGCUUGUGCGGGUCCCCGUCAAUUCCUUUGAGUUUUACCGUUGCCGGCGUACUCCCCAGGCGGAGAACUUAAUGCGUUAGCUGCGACACCGAAAGGCUAAAUCCUCCCGACAUCUAGUUCUCAUCGU
rnacentral:rRNA from 1 species